GACGUAGGGCGCGAGCGUUGUCCGGAUUUAUUGGGCGUAAAGCGUGCGUAGGCGGCUGCGCAAGUCGGGUGUGAAACCCCGGGGCUCAACCCCGGAACUGCAUCCGAUACUGCGUGGCUAGAGGUAGGUAGGGGAGAUCGGAAUUCCCGGUGUAGCGGUGAAAUGCGCAGAUAUCAGGAGGAACACCGGUGGCGAAGGCGGAUCUCUGGGCCUUACCUGACGCUCAGGCACGAAAGCUAGGGGAGCGAACAGG
rnacentral:rRNA from 1 species